UUCAUACUCGAACCGUUAAACAACACUAUAGCGUGUCAAAUUGCACAUGUUUCGGUAUUCUAAACUCUAUCGCCGGGCUGCCUGUUUUUCCUCUCUUUUCAUGUCUCGCCUAUCUGUACAAUAACCCCACCUCCCCGCAACUUAGUCAUAAACUCCCCGUGGACCCGAACCGAGCGGUCAUGAUUGUUGGGUCCGGAUCAACCCUAUAAUACUCAAACCGUCGUCGGUUUUUCAUUUGGACUUUCUAACCAAUUUUUUCGACCACCAAAUCAAGAUUGGAGGGUCUAAACAUAGCCAAACCCUACUAUUUAUAUAUGAAAUCUAGAACUAAUCCUAGCCUACCCAGUCCCAUCCGUCUCUCUGUUCGCCUCCGCCGCUCCCUCGUCCUGCCUCGGUUUCCAGAUCCACCCAAGCAGAGCCUCCCUCGGGAUCCCCUCGCAGCCAACCAGUGCUCAGCGUCACCUCCUUGUAUGAUCUUAUACACACGCUCGAGAGAAUCCCGAGGCCUCCGAGACGAAGCCAAAAGCGCCAUUGCUGGAGGUCCAAGCCACGGCCACCUCUCCUCCAGAAGACCAGGGCCGCGUGCCCGAGCGCCGCUGCUGCCGUGCGCCUCCCACCUCGCCAUUGUCAUUCGCCUCAUUGGAGAAUGGACCUUGUUAGAUCCAUUGACACCGGUGAUCACCUCCAGCAGGCCCGUACCACCCCUUUAUUUCUCCGUCCUGUCUCCCUCCCUCUAAUUCUUUCACUGUCUCUCUCUCUCAAUUUUCCCCUCUCCAUGUGUCUCUUGUUUAGGAACACAACCAUGGCCAAAGCUUCAAUGCACUGCCCCGCUUUGUCUCCGCCCCAAUGGAGCUCCACCGCAACCCUUGCCUCGGAUGCGCCUGAUUCCUCCUGGCCCCAUUGCCAUGACGCCCGUGACAUCCUCUUCUGCAUCGCGAUGACCUGAUGUUGCGUCUAUUCUUGAGGCAACGGGCAGCAGCAGCUCGGCUGUUGACCAUGCCCUGCCGCGUGGACCCACCCGUUCCAACCAGUGCCAAGGCCCAGCAGUGCCCAACUCCUUCUCGUGCAGCUAUCCAAUAUCAGCAUUGCCAUGGCCGCUGGCCUCUGUCUCCCUGUCAGUUCGGAACCACUUCGAAGUGUGAGGAUUCAUUCGACUACGUUGGUUCGUCUGCUUCACGGAUUCGUUCUUCUUCCAAGCGGGAUCAGAGGCUAGAUGAUCAUUUCCCUAGAUAUCACUACUAUCAUUGCUAUGCUAGUUGUCUCGUUUCUAUAGCUAUGUCUCGCUACCUACCACGUGAAUGUCAGCCUCCCAACAUUACCACUAAAAGUCUCUAAUCCCUCCACAUUCUAGCAAAACCUCUCUUUGGCUAUGUUACCGCUUGCUCAGCCCUUCUUAUAGCGUUGCUAGUUGAAGGUUCUGUUGCUUCCAUGUGAAAACAGGGAUUUCCUGUCAUAUCACCAUACAAUUGAUAUUUAAUUUAAUGCACCUAUAUACUUGGUAAAA